ACUUCCGGCCUCGCUGGCAUGGACGUUUGUGGUGGGUCGUGUUGGUUCGCAGUCUCAGAACUGUGCUGGGAAGGAUGGUAGGGCGACUGGGUCUCACUUCCGCACCGUUGUAGGACCCGGGGUAGGGUUUUGAGCCCGUGGGAGCUGUCCCACGCGGCCUCGUCCUGCCAACGGUCGGAUGGCGGAGACGAAGGACGCACCGCAGAUGUUGGUGACCUUCAAGGAUGUGGCUGUGACUUUUACCCGGGAGGAGUGGAGACAGCUGGACCUGGCCCAGAGGACCCUGUACCGAGAGGUGAUGCUGGAGACCUGUGGGCUCCUGGUUUCACUAGGUAAUGGCUCACCUCUCAUCCCUGAGGAGGACCCUAACCCUGAUUCUUGGCCAGGCAAAAAGGUCACUGGAACUGCCCACCUUUCUCUUGACAGACUUUUCUGGUCCCACCUCUUCCUGACUGGUCUCACUUUGUCUGCAUCAGAGAUUGUUGGGGUAGAAAAUGUCCUUUUAACACAAACCCUCACUCCAGUGCUCAGCCCAUUCUGAGGUCCUUAAUCCAGAUUGCAUAAG
rnacentral:sRNA from 1 species